rnacentral:rRNA from 1 species
UAGGGAAUCUUCGGCAAUGGGGGGAACCCUGACCGAGCAACGCCGCGUGAGUGAAGAAGGUUUUCGGAUCGUAAAGCUCUGUUGUUAAGGAAGAACGAGUGUGAGAAUGGAAAGUUCAUACUGUGACGGUACUUAACCAGAAAGGGACGGCUAACUACGUGCCAGCAGCCGCGGUAAUACGUAGGUCCCGAGCGUUGUCCGGAUUUAUUGGGCGUAAAGCGAGCGCAGGCGGUCAAUUAAGUCUGAUGUGAAAGCCCCCGGCUCAACCGGGGAGGGUCAUUGGAAACUGGUUGACUUGAGUGCAGAAGAGGAGAGUGGAAUUCCAUGUGUAGCGGUAAAAUGCGUAGAUAUAUGGAGGAACACCGGUGGCGAAGGCGACUCUCUGGUCUGUAACUGACGCUGAGGCUCGAAAGCGUGGGUAGCAAACAGG